AUAUUACCAAAAUUUUAUUAUUCUAUCCAAACCAAUCGUUUUCCAGAUCCCCCGCACUAUAAAAGAGACUACAACCCUAUUCUCCUCACAAUCGCUUGACCAUCUCAAGAGAUUUUAUUUUUUGAAAAUAAUGAUGGCAUCGAGACAUUUCUUCGGAAAUGGACAAUAUGUCCAGUUGUCAGUAUAUAGGGGUGUAACCUAUGUCCAUAUAAAUGGACGCAAUAACAGGUGCACCACCGUGAGUGUGGACGAAUUCAUGGACAUGGUGCAGAACUAUGCACUAAUGGCAGAUAUCCAGUCCCAUAUAAAAAAGGUACGUAUGAAAGUUACUUUAUGAAAUUCAUUUUUUCAUUAACUCACAAAUUGAAGAAUAUAAAAUAAUGUCAUCUUUAAAACAAAUAACUAGUCAAAGCAAUUAACAUGAUGUUUUGGAUUGUAUAUCCUGAUACUAUAAAUGAUUAAAUUAUUUCCAUGUUUAGGAGUCUUCCAAACGAAUUGAUACUACACCGCCACAGACACCGGUCCCAUUGGGACCACAACUGGUGACCCCACCAGUAACAAAGAAAAGGAAGAGGGAUGAAGAGCCAUCCGAAGACCUGCAGAGAAAGAGGGUGAGGUUGGAAUCGCCUGAAAGAAUCGACGUUGUAAGUAUAGCUAUUUUGUACGAUUUUUACAGUUUCCUCCACAACUUUUAAGACAUUUUCCCUAUUAAA